AAUUUAAUUUGUGGUAUUGAUUGAAUCCACUAAGUUUUUGCUAUUGUUUAUGUUGAAUUAAUGAAAAUUUUAUGAUUAUUAGUUUUAUGUUAAACUAUGUGUGACUCCUUUAUAAAUUAUUUAAAAAGAAUUGUUUAUCUGAGAUAUUUAGAUGGUAGACACUUAUAAUUAUAUUCUUAUUUUUAUUGUUGAUUGAAAUUUGCUAACCAUGGGAUCUAACAGACAGAGUAGGUCUCGUAAAAGACAUGCGUCUAAACAUCAACAUCGCCGUCAAUAUUCUAGUAGCGUUGCUAGUUCUUCUAAUUUGUCAACGUCUAGUGAUAUAAAACAAAACAAGCGGCACAAGAAUUUUAAAUUGCAAUCAAGAAAAGACAAAAAUUAUCAUCGUCGUUCAAAGACUAAAACUGAUUCCUCUCAAAUAAAUAGUACACAUAGGUCCGCGACUAAAACUCCCCCGUUAAUGCAACGAACUUGUAUUAAUAAUCAUGUGGGGACGAAUUCAACGCUGGGAGUACAAAUUCCAAUGAAUAAUAUGUUUUCAACCCACAUUAACGUUAUACCUGAGUUCGAUCCCAGUGAUGGAUCCCAGAAUGUUGAAUCAUGGAUCCAUAAAGUCAAUGAAUGUGCACAAAUAUAUUCUUGGAAUGAUACCCAAAUUCGUCACUAUGCUUUAGCUAAGCUCACAGGUUUAGCCAAACGGUGGUAUCAGGGUUUACCUUCAUUAUUGUUUACAUGGGAACAGUGGACCGAAAAAUUAAAAAUUGCAUUUCCGUCUACGGAAAACUAUGGAGAUAUGCUGCAAAAAAUGUUACAGUAUCGUUGUCGAAUAGGUCAGCCAUUGGACGUAUAUUAUUACGAAAAGAUGAUAUUGAUUAACAGAUGCGAAAUACUCGGACGAAAAGCUGUAGGGUGCUUAGUACAUGGUAUUGAUGAUAAGUUUGUUAGGAUGAGUGCGAAUGCAUGCCGUUUUGAGGAACCCGAACAACUGUUUUCAUAUUUAAAAACGCUGGCCCAAAGUGAUAAUAAUAAUCUGUCAAUUAGGCGAAAAAUUAAUAAUAAAGAGGUUGGAUCCCAACAAGAAUUGCCAAAUAGUAGCACAACUUCCUCACGACCAGGCAUUGUUUGUUUUAAUUGUGGCGAAACAGGUCACAUUAGGACGAAAUGUAACAAACCUAUGAAGCGAUGUCACAUCUGUCGUAGGGUAGGUCAUAUAAGUAAAGAUUGUCGUUUCAAGUCAAAUGUGACAGAUAGCAGUGGAGAUACAAACCUAUUACAAAUCACAGCUCCAUCUGGCGAUAAAAACGUUAUGCGUAUACAAUCAAGCGAAAUAGAUACUGAUAAAUUUCAUAAAGAGAUUAGCAUUGAUGGAACGCUGAUACAGGGGUUUAUUGAUUUAGGUAGUAAUUGCACGUUGUUGAAAGAGAGUCUUGCGAAUAAAAUUUUUGGAGAUUAUGACAAAGGUAAACAUGUCCCAAAUCUACGAGGAUUCGGUAAUUCUAGUGUGAAACCUGUGGGGACAGUUAGGGGGUUAAUAACGGUCGAUGACAUAUCUGCUCAAGUUGAAUUUGUUGUGGUGUCAGAUCAUUAUAUGCCGUAUGACGUCAUUAUUGGUCAAACAUUUACCGAGUUACCAAAUGUUGUUUUAUAUAAGACCUCAAAUAAUUUACGGUUUUAUGAGGCGCCUAACUUGAAUAUUGCUGAUAAUUAUCCUGUUAAGAUUAAACUUAAUUCGAGCCAAGAUGCUACGAUUGAGCCUAAUACUACAUCGCCAGUAGAAGUAGUUACAUUUAUUAAAUUCUCUGGAUCUCUAUACGUCCCAUCUGGUUUUCGCUAUAAUGAUGACAAAAAGUUCUUGGUUUUACCUGGAUUAUAUAAUUAUCUAGAUGGUUCUGGCUAUAUAAUGAUAACAAAUUUGGCUAAUACCAAACUUUGUGUCAAAAAAGGUCAAACUAUGGCCAGAGGAUUGGAUUACAAUGAAACGUUUGAUAAUUAUAUCGGAUAUACCGCGACUACUAGUCAAAAUCCUAAGCCUCUAAAUGAUAUAAAUGUAGGGACACACUUAACAAAGUUAGAGAUGGAAAAUUUAACACAACUUCUGAAUAAGUACCGGGACUGUUUUGCGGUUGAUUUAUCUGAGCUUGGUAAAACAAAUUUGACUGAAAUGGUAAUUAAAUUAAAAGAUGAUAUACCUGUAGUAUACAACCCGUACCGCAUGUCACUAAAAGAGAAAGAGCAGCUUUCAGAAAUAAUUGGGGAUUUACUUAAUAACGGUAUAAUUCGGGAGAGUUCAUCUCCUUAUGCAAGCCCCGUAUUACUAGUUAAUAAAAAAAAUGGACAGAAACGUUUAUGCGUAGAUUACCGGGCGCUUAAUAGAAAAACUUUAAAAGAUAAAUACCCCUUACCUCGCAUAGAGGACAAAUUGGACUGUCUGGGAGGAAAUAGUUUAUUUACUAGUUUAGACCUUGCGUCAGGCUAUUAUCAAAUUCCUGUAGCUGAAGACAGCAAACAUUUGACGGCGUUUGUCACUCCGGACGGUCUAUAUGAAUACAAUCGUAUGCCUUUCGGAUUAGCAAACGCGCCUAGUGUAUUUCAAAGAGCAAUAAAUUCCAUGCUGAAUGGGGUAGGUCAAAAUUUGGUUUUAGCGUACAUGGACGAUUUACUGGUUCCUUCUAGAACAGUUCAAGAGGGCAUUGAGAAACUGGAAAAAGUUUUUAAUUUAUUGCGAAAUUCUAAACUAACUCUUAAUCCUAAAAAGUGUGUUUUCUUUCAAGAGAAAAUAGAAUACCUCGGUUAUGAAAUUUGUGGUGAGGGUAUUAGACCUGGUAAAUACAAAACUGAUGCAGUAAAACUCUUUCCGGUACCUAAGAAUGUUCACGAAGUACGCCAGUUUAUAGGGCUGGCAAGUUAUUUUCGAAAAUUUGUUAAAGAUUUUUCAAUUAUCGCUAGACCAUUGACAAGGCUAACUAAAAAGAAUGAGCCUUGGCAUUUUGGGUUAGAACAGACGGAGGCAUAUAAUACUAUUAAAGAAAAGUUAGUGAGUCGGCCAGUUCUUGCAUUGUAUGAUCCACGUGCCAAAUUGGAAGUCCAUACAGAUGCGAGUAAAUUCGGGGUAGGUGCUAUUCUCCUUCAGGAUAAUGGUAAGGGUCUCCAGCCAAUUUCGUAUUUUAGUAGGCAGACUUCACCAGAAGAGCAAAAAUUUCACUCAUAUGAACUGGAGACUCUUGCUGUGGUUACUGCUUUCAACAGGUUUCGCGUUUAUUUAUUGGGGGUGGAAUUUAAGCUUGUAACCGAUUGUAACGCCGUUAAAAGUACGAUGACAAAAAAAGAUUUAAUACCGCGUGUAGCUAGAUGGUGGAUUGCUAUGCAGGAAUUCGAUUUUACUAUAGAGUAUAGGAAGGGCUUGAAAAUGGCGCACGUUGACGCUCUUAGCAGAAAUCCAGUGGACAAUAAAGAUCCACCAUCUCGUGACGACGAUAAUUACAUCUUUCAUAUUGACGUUGAUGAUGAGAGAUGGCUACAAACGGUACAACAGGCAGACACUGAAUUACAGAGAAUAGUUGAAAUUUUAAAGGACCCGGAGAGUAAUAAUAUAGUUGAAGUGAAAAAUAACUUUACCGUUAAGAAUGGAAAAUUAUACCGGGUAGUUAAAAAAGAAAGUAAUGUCCGUCUGCUCUGGGUUGUUCCAAAAUCAGUAAGAUGGCAAAUUGUGAAAAGCAAUCAUGAUGAUGUUGGACAUUUUGGUUUUGAUAAGACUUACGAUAGAGUGCGGAAGGUUUACUGGUUUAAAAACAUGUGUCGUUUCAUAAAGAAAUAUUGUAAGUCGUGCCUACACUGUGCGCACAACAAGGUACCGGGUGGUCCUAAAGAAGGUAUGCUUCACCCUAUACCAAAACCGAAUAAACCUUUCGAAGUCUUGCAUGCUGAUCAUUGUGGCCCAUUUCCACAAAGUAAAAAGGGCAACAAUUAUAUUUUAGCGGUUAUAGAUGCAUUCACGAAAUACAUAUAUAUUAAACCAGUUAAAAAUUGUAAAAGUAAAACGACUAUAAAUAUAUUUGAGGAGUACUUUUCUCUAUUCGGAGUACCGCGGCAAUUAAUUACCGAUAGGGGCACAAGUUUUACUAGCCGAGAAUUUUCUGUGUUUACAAAGGAAAAAGGAAUUAAGCAUACGCUUAAUGCCGUUGCAACACCUCGCGCCAAUGGGCAAAUUGAGCGCUAUAACCGUUCUAUUGUAGAUGCACUCACUGCAAUUAAUAAUGGUCGGCCCGAUAACGAAUGGGAUACAAUGAUUCCAAAGGUUCAAUGGGGUUUGAAUAACACUUUGAACAAAGCUACGGGUAAAACACCCGCUGAAGUUUUAUUCGGAGUAGCACCUACAGGAGUUUCGGAUGGUGCAAUGAACUCAGUUGUGUCCGAAAUUCACGAGUGCGAAAAUCGUGAAGAUUUACGAUUAAAAGUAAGCGAACGUUUAGUCACUGAACAAAGGAAACAAAAAGUUAACUUUGAUAAGAAACGUAAAUUAGCACAUAGGUAUAAUGUUGGGGAUCUAGUGCGAGUAGAAAGGGAAGUAAGUAGUGUCAUUCCAGGGCAAUCAAAGAAAUUAAUUCCGAAAUGUUAUGGGCCAUAUAGGGUGACUAGGGUGCUGGAAAAUGACAGGUAUGAAAUCGAAGACACUCCAAUAACAAAGAAAAAUGGAAAACCAUCAUACAAAGCAAUUUUUGCAGUUGAUAAGAUACAUCCAUGGCUAGUGUUUUCCAACGAUCCCAUGAAUAGCGAUUCAGAUUGUGACAGUCUUAACGAUAAAUGAAACAAAAUAUCAAUAGUUAAACUUAAAUUUAAGUGAUUUAAAAAGGAGAAAGUAAUUUACGAAUAAGUUAUGUAAAAAUAUAAAAGUUAUAUGUACUUGGCAUCUUAGCGUGUGUGUAAAUGGUCAGCCCUGCGUGGCGAUAAUAGCAUUUUAUGGUGAUACUAGCCCUGUGUGGCGAUACUAGCCCAGUGUGGCGAUACCAGCCCUGUGCGGCGAUGCCAGGCCUGUGUGGCGAUACCAGCCCUAUGUGGCGACACCAGCCCUUUGUGGCGAUACCAGCCCUUUGUGGCGAUACCAGCCCUUUGUGGCGAUACCAGCCCUUUGUGGCGAUACCAGCCCUUUGUGGCGAUACCAGCCCUUAGUGGCGAUACCAGCCCUUAGUGGCGAUACCAGCCCUUAGUGGCGAUAGUAGCCGUUAGUGGUAAUACCAGCCCAUUGUGGCGAUACCAGCUCUUAUGGCGAUAACUAUCAGUGCAUGGUGGUGAUAAAAGCUUUCAGUGAGAAAUUUGUAAAUUAAUAGAAUGUUAUUGUUAUUUUACUACUGUUUUGAAUUGUUUCAAAGAAUAAGUUGUCUUAUGUUAUUAUUGAUGUGGGUUACGUUAUGUGUUUAACUAUGAAGCUUUGUAUGUGCAAAUUGAUUUAUGUAUGUAGGUCCGUAGUACUUAUACUUUUGUUUUAUAACUAAAACUGGAUUAUUUUUUCUUUUCUUUUUCUUUCUUUUGUCAUACAAAAUUAACGUUGUACUGAAACGUCGUGAUACAAUGUCCAUACGUGAUAAUUUUGAAAAAAUAGUAAUAUUAGUAGGUGACAGUCAUCAGUAGUUAUGUUAUAAAACCUUUUGAAGAUACAAGCGUGUAUGUACUGCCUAAAAUUAAGUUAAAGUUACAUUCUCCAUCUUUUGUUAAUUGAAACAAUGUUUUGGUUUUUCUUUUUUUUUUUUUUUUUGUUUUGUUUCUUUAAUAUUUACUUGUGGGUAGUUUUCUUGCUUUUACCAUAAAUCUUACACGCGGGGACGCGUGCUGGGUCAGAGUGGCCGAUUGUAAGCUGAUCAUCUUAGUGUACAUGUAAAAUGUUCACAUAAUUAUAUUUAUCAUUAAUUGUAAUUUCUUUUUUAAUAAUUAAUAUUUUCUAAAAAUAACAUUUCAAUAAUUACUAAAAAUUGUCUAUGGUUUCAUGUUUUUUUUAUCUAUGGUCGGUGGCAACAUUGUUGGCGCGAAAAGGAUUUGUCAUGAUGGUCGAACCUUUGAGCGUAGAAAAGGAUAUUAUAUUUAUUGUAAAAGGAAUUGUAAAACCAAUAAAGAAAGAGUGCAGUUAAAAUUUGCUGUGCAAAUAUGCUUAAUGCUCCAAAUUGUCAAUGUGACCCAUGUAUGGGGAGAUUGAAGCAGACCAUUGACUAUGCAUUC